rnacentral:rRNA from 1 species
CCGAAGACGAGGAUAACGGGUGGAAACAUCCGCUAAUACUGGAUAGACUCUGGGGGUCGCACCGCAGAGUAAAGCUUCGGCGCUUCGGGAGGGGCCUGCGGCCUAUCAGCUAGUUGGUAGGGUAACGGCCUACCAAGGCAAAGACGGGUAGGGGGUGUGAGAGCACGACCCCCCACAAUGGCACUGAGACACGGGCCAUACUCCUACGGGAGGCAGCAGCAGGGAAUAUUGCACAAUGGACGGAAGUCUGAUGCAGCGACGCCGCGUGGAUGAUGAAGGCCCUCGGGUCGUAAAAUCCUUUUCAGGGGGACGAGGCAGGACGGUACCCUUGGAAUAAGCGUCGGCUAACUACGUGCCAGCAGCCGCGGUAAGACGUAGGACGCAAGCGUUAUCCGGAUUUACUGGGCGUAAAGCGUCUGUAGGCGGAUGGGUAAGUUGGGCGUGAAAGCUCCGUGCUCAACGCGGAGAGGUCGUUCAAUACUGCCGAUCUGGAGGUCAUCAGAGGGGCGUGGAAUUUCCGGUGUAGCGGUAAAAUGCGCAGAUAUCGGAAGGAACACCAGUGGCGAAAGCGGCGCCCUGGGGUGGACCUGACGCUGAGAGACGAAAGCUAGGGGAGCGAACAGGAUUAGAGACCCUGGUAGUCCUAGCUAUAAACGAUGGAUGCUAGGUGUGGGGUCGAGAAGACUCCGUGCCGGAGCCAACGCGAUAAGCAUCCCGCCUGGGGACUACGGCCGCAAGGCUAAAACUCAAACGAAUUGACGGGGCCCCGCACAAGCAGCGGAGCGUGUGGUUCAAUUCGAUGCUACACGAAGAACCUUACCUGGGUUUGGCAUGGAGGUGGUAGGGAAGCGAAAGCGGACCGACCCUUCGGGGAGCCUUCACAGGUGCUGCACGGCUGUCGUCAGCUCGUGCCGUGAGGUGUCGGGUUAAGUCCCGUAACGAGCGCAACCCUUGCCCUUAGUUACAAGUGUCUAAGGGGACUGUCGGCGGUAAGCCGGAGGAAGGUGGGGAUGACGUCAAGUCAGCAUGGCCCUUAUAUCCAGGGCUACACACACGCUACAAUGGUCGGUACAAAGGGCAGCGAAGCCGCGAG